rnacentral:rRNA from 1 species
UACGUAGGUGACAAGCGUUGUCCGGAUUUACUGGGCGUAAAGAGCGCGCAGGCGGUCGUUCAAGUCGAGUGUGAAAGCCCCCGGCUCAACUGGGGAGGGUCACUCGAUACUGAUCGACUCGAAGGCAGGAGAGGGAAGUGGAAUUCCCGGUGUAGUGGUGAAAUGCGUAGAUAUCAUUUGGAACGCCAAUGGUGAAAACAGGUUGCUGGGGGUGUGCUGACGCUGAGACACGAAAGCCAGGGGAGCGAACAGG